GACGUAGGGCGCGAGCGUUUGUCCGGAUUUAUUGGGCGUAAAGAGCUCGUAGGCGGCUUGUUGCGUCAGCUGUGAAAACCCGCAGCUCAACUGUGGGCUUGCAGCUGAUACGGGCAGGCUUGAGUGCGGUAGGGGAGACUGGAAUUCCUGGUGUAGCGGUGAAAUGCGCAGAUAUCAGGAGGAACACCGGUGGCGAAGGCGGGUCUCUGGGCCGUAACUGACGCUGAGGAGCGAAAGCGUGGGGAGCGAACAGG
rnacentral:rRNA from 1 species